rnacentral:rRNA from 1 species
GGGUUGUGAGGUUAAGCGACUAAGCGUACACGGUGGAUGCCCUGGCAGUCAGAGGCGAUGAAGGACGUGCUAAUCUGCGAAAAGCGUCGGUAAGGUGAUAUGAACCGUUACAGCCGGCGAUGUCCGAAUGGGGAAACCCAGUGCAAUUCGUUGCACUAUCGUUAACUGAAUACAUAGGUUAACGAGGCGAACCGGGGGAACUGAAACAUCUAAGUACCCCGAGGAAAAGAAAUCAACCGAGAUUCCCCCAGUAGCGGCGAGCGAACGGGGAGCAGCCCGGAGUCUGAAUCAGCUUGUGUGUUAGUGGAAGCGUCUGGAAAGUCGCAGGGUACAGGGUGAUACUCCCGUACACUAAAACACACAGGCUGUGAACUCGAAGAGUAGGGCGGGACACGUGGUAUCCUGUCUGAAUAUGGGGGGACCAUCCUCCAAGGCUAAAUACUCCUGACUGACCGAUAGUGAACCAGUACCGUGAGGGAAAGGCGAAAAGAACCCCGGCGAGGGGAGUGAAAAAGAACCUGAAACCGUGUACGUACAAGCAGUAGGAGCCCACUAGUUGGGUGACUGCGUACCUUUUGUAUAAUGGGUCAGCGACUUAUAUUCUGUAGCAAGGUUAACCGUAUAGGGGAGCCGCAGGGAAACCGAGUCUUAACUGGGCGUUAAGUUGCAGGGUAUAGACCCGAAACCCGGUGAUCUAGCCAUGGGCAGGUUGAAGGUUGGGUAACACUAACUGGAGGACCGAACCGACUAAUGUUGAAAAAUUAGCGGAUGACUUGUGGCUGGGGGUGAAAGGCCAAUCAAACCGGGAGAUAGCUGGUUCUCCCCGAAAGCUAUUUAGGUAGCGCCUCGUGAACUCAUCUUCGGGGGUAGAGCACUGUUUCGGCUAGGGGGUCAUCCCGACUUACCAACCCGAUGCAAACUACGAAUACCGAAGAAUGUUAUCACGGGAGACACACGGCGGGUGCUAACGUCCGUCGUGAAGAGGGAAACAACCCAGACCGCCAGCUAAGGUCCCAAAGUCAUGGUUAAGUGGGAAACGAUGUGGGAAGGCCCAGACAGCCAGGAUGUUGGCUUAGAAGCAGCCAUCAUUUAAAGAAAGCGUAAUAGCUCACUGGUCGAGUCGGCCUGCGCGGAAGAUGUAACGGGGCUAAACCAUGCACCGAAGCUGCGGCAGCGACACUAUGUGUUGUUGGGUAGGGGAGCGUUCUGUAAGCCGUUGAAGGUGGCCUGUGAGGGUUGCUGGAGGUAUCAGAAGUGCGAAUGCUGACAUAAGUAACGAUAAUGCGGGUGAAAAACCCGCACGCCGGAAGACCAAGGGUUCCUGUCCAACGUUAAUCGGGGCAGGGUGAGUCGACCCCUAAGGCGAGGCCGAAAGGCGUAGUCGAUGGGAAACAGGUUAAUAUUCCUGUACUUGGUGUUACUGCGAAGGGGGGACGGAGAAGGCUAUGUUGGCCGGGCGACGGUUGUCCCGGUUUAAGCAUGUAGGCGGAUGUUCCAGGUAAAUCCGGAACGUCACUAACGCUGAGGUGUGAUGACGAGGCACUACGGUGCUGAAGUGACAAAUGCCCUGCUUCCAGGAAAAGCCUCUAAGCAUCAGGUAACAUCAAAUCGUACCCCAAACCGACACAGGUGGUCAGGUAGAGAAUACCAAGGCGCUUGAGAGAACUCGGGUGAAGGAACUAGGCAAAAUGGUGCCGUAACUUCGGGAGAAGGCACGCUGAUGGUAGGUGAAGUGACUUGCUCACGGAGCUGAAAUCAGUCGAAGAUACCAGCUGGCUGCAACUGUUUAUUAAAAACACAGCACUGUGCAAACACGAAAGUGGACGUAUACGGUGUGACGCCUGCCCGGUGCCGGAAGGUUAAUUGAUGGGGUUAUCCUCGCGGAGAAGCUCUUGAUCGAAGCCCCGGUAAACGGCGGCCGUAACUAUAACGGUCCUAAGGUAGCGAAAUUCCUUGUCGGGUAAGUUCCGACCUGCACGAAUGGCGUAAUGAUGGCCAGGCUGUCUCCACCCGAGACUCAGUGAAAUUGAACUCGCUGUGAAGAUGCAGUGUACCCGCGGCAAGACGGAAAGACCCCGUGAACCUUUACUAUAGCUUGACACUGAACACUGGUCCUUGAUGUGUAGGAUAGGUGGGAGGCUUUGAAGUGUGGACGCCAGUCUGCAUGGAGCCAUCCUUGAAAUACCACCCUUUAAUGGCUGGUGUUCUAACGUGGGCCCCUAAUCGGGGUUGCGGACAGUGUCUGGUGGGUAGUUUGACUGGGGCGGUCUCCUCCUAAAGAGUAACGGAGGAGCACGAAGGUCAGCUAAUCCUGGUCGGACAUCAGGAGGUUAGUGCAAUGGCAUAAGCUGGCUUGACUGCGAGCGUGACGGCGCGAGCAGGUGCGAAAGCAGGUCAUAGUGAUCCGGUGGUUCUGAAUGGAAGGGCCAUCGCUCAACGGAUAAAAGGUACUCCGGGGAUAACAGGCUGAUACCGCCCAAGAGUUCAUAUCGACGGCGGUGUUUGGCACCUCGAUGUCGGCUCAUCACAUCCUGGGGCUGAAGUAGGUCCCAAGGGUAUGGCUGUUCGCCAUUUAAAGUGGUACGCGAGCUGGGUUUAGAACGUCGUGAGACAGUUCGGUCCCUAUCUGCCGUGGGCGCUGGAGAAUUGAGGGGGGCUGCUCCUAGUACGAGAGGACCGGAGUGGACGCAUCACUGGUGUUCGGGUUGUCAUGCCAAUGGCAUUGCCCGGUAGCUAAAUGCGGAAGAGAUAAGUGCUGAAAGCAUCUAAGCACGAAACUUGCCCCGAGAUGAGUUCUCCCUGACUCCUUGAGAGUCCUGAAGGAACGUUGAAGACGACGACGUUGAUAGGCCGGGUGUGUAAGCGCAGCGAUGCGUUGAGCUAACCGGUACUAAUGAACCGUGAGGCUUAACCUUACAACGCCGAAG